GGAGGAUAGAGUUUUGCAGCAGGACUUAGUGGUUGUGAUUUUGUGCCAUGAGGAAGGAACCGGCACCAGGAAGCCAAGAAUUGUCCUCUGGAAAGGAGUGUUACCAGGAGGAUAGAGUUUUGCAGCAGGGCUUAGUGGUUAUGAUUUUGUUCCAUGAGGAAGGAACCGGCACCAGGAAGCCAAGAAUUGUCCUCUGGAAAGGAGUGUUACAAGGAGGAUAGAGUUUUGCAGCAGGGCCUAGUGGUUGUGAUUUUGUUCCAUGGGGAAUGAGCAGCACCAGGAAGCCAAGAAUUCUCCUCUGGAAAGGAGAUGGAACAUUAGCUCAGGCAAUUUCAGAACAAGAAAAAGCACAUCAGAGUCCAGAUGGAGAUAUCACAGACAUCAUGGAUGGUCAACUCUAGAAAGAGAAGUUUGACGAUGAUGACUUUUUUCAUGGCAGCAAUUGUGGUUGGUUAAGGUUUUCCAGAAGCAAAGGUUGUGGCUCAGCUAUUCUAAACCUGAUUUCUGCACAUUCCUUAAACUGUUUCACGGAAAGUCUUCUUGAAAUUUACAGAUCAGGAGUCGGUGUAAAUGGUCAGCUGAUCUGAGGGAUUCAUCUGAAGGGAGUGUUUGACUCACCAGCCAGAUGCCUUUUUUCUGAACAUGGGGCAAUUUAAUGGUUUCUCUGGAUGCCCAUAUUGUUAUGCUCCAGGAAAAUCUGUCUAAACGAGUGAGAGGUCACACUCUUUCGUACCCCUUCAUCGUGGACCGUGAGAAUGGACACCAUGAGCUAAGAACCAACAGUUCCCACUUGAUGAAUAGUGAAGAAGGGGAGAAAAAUAAAGGUUAAGCAAUUCAAGUUGUGAAGGGACUUGCGUGGUUCUCCUACUUGCCAUUCUUUGACAAAUUACGAAGGAUUGCGAUAGGUUAUAUGCAUUGCAUUCUUCUAGGAGUUGUGAAGAUGUUAGGGACGUUGUGGUUUGAUAAAUUGUACAAACAGGAAAUGUUUAGCAUUGCGUCAAGAGUUACAGAUGUGGACCAGUACUUGCUAGCAAUCAAACCACCCAGUUUUAUUCCAAGGUUGCCACGAUCAUUGAGUGAGAUUUCUCACUGUAAGGCUGCAGAGCUGGAGAACUUUCUACUGUUCUACAGCUUGCCAUGCCUCAUCGGAAUUCUACCGCAGGACCAGUUUCAAAAAAUUUCACUUCUGGUGUAUGCCAUGUACAUUCUGUUGCAGGAAAAUAUUACUCUUCAGGACAUUCUGCAGUGAGUGGAUGCUUUUAGAAUUUGUAUUGAAUAUAUUAGCCCUGUAUGGAGAAAGAUACUCAAUCUCUAAUGUCUAUCUUCUUCAUCUGACGACAGAAUUGUCAAUUUCGGUCCCCUCUGGUCCACAUCAUGUUUCUAUUUUGAGGCCUUUAACGAUCAAUUACGACAACUGUUUCAUGGAACUCAAAGCAUAGAUAAACAAAUUACGUUUGCAGUGUGUGUGCAUCAAUUCUUGUCAAAGAUGGCACAAACUUUAAAUUAUGGGAGUGCAGAACACAAAUUCUUGAAGAAAGUGAUGGACAGGAAACCACAGUCAAUGCGAGAAAGGGCGACUGAAAAGGUAUUUGUGGUUGGUGCAUACCAUAGCCGGCCUAUAUCCACUGAGGAACAACAUGCCAUAUUCUUGGUGGGCGGAGAUGUGUGUUCGGCAAUGUUUUUUAACAGACUCUGCUCACCAACAAAUUAUUCAUUCUGUGGAAUACAAAUCAACUGUCAGACGGGACAAUAGUCUUGUUGACUUUAAUGGAAACGGAUUUGGACCCAUACAGUGUUUCAUUACGAUUAAAACACGGUGGAACAAGUUCUCAUUUUAUGCCUUAUUGAAUGUUAUGGAGAAAUGUGACAAUAUACUUUGAAGCACAUCUGACAGACAUAUGGUUGCUUGGAGACCAAGUUGUGGUCAGUUAAGAGCUAUAAAAGUGAAGGACAUCACCAACAUUUGUGUUUGCGCACAAGCUAAUGACAAAUUUUGGGUUUUUUGGUGUGUUUUUUUUUAUCAUUCGAAACAAGGAGAAGGAAUAGAUUACAAUAACAGUACAUAUAUGUAGAUAUUAGAGACUAUUAAAGGGACUGAUUCACGUUUACACGCACGCUCACACACAAAUUAUGUUUUUUCGCUUUUAUUGAACUCUACUGUCUAAUGUGUUUAAAGGUUUCAUAAAAAAUUAAAGUUUACACAUUAUCACAGGAGCUCAUUUUAGAGAGUUUAUUGUUUUGUAAACAAAGAUUGCUAUAUGUUAUUGUUUUUAAGAAGUUUUGAAAAGAAAUGAAAGUUUUAUUAUAUUUGUUUACAUAACACAUAAUUAAGUCUAAAAGAUUGCUUUUAUUCUUGCAUUCAGAAGGUAUAUAUUUUGGCUGUCAACAUUAAAUGAGUCGUAUUUUUAAUUUUUAACAUCAAAAAUGAAGAACAAAAUUAUUAAAACACAUGAACCAGUCCCUUUAAGGUAGCUCACUACACUUAAGCUUAUACUCUGUAUGACACCACGACAUAAGAUGGCCAUUUAAAUGUUUUCUGAAAUUAUUUGUAUCAGUCGAUUUGUUUGUCUAUCAUUGUAGCUCGGUCAUUAAAGCAUUGGGCUGGUGAACCGCAGAUCUCGAGUUCAAAUCCCCCAGAGUCUUUUAAGCAUAUGUGUUGAAAUAAUUUUGUGGAAAAUCUUGUUUUUAUCCUAAUUUGUAUAUUUUUUUGCCUUUUUGGUAUACGUAUAUACUUAUUGUAUAUCAUCUUAUCUUUUAUAGUUAAAUCAAUUGUACUAAUUUGAGAAACUAUUUCUGGGUGUAGUGAGCCACCUUAAAACAUGUUUAAUCAUGCUGUACAUGUAUAGUAGAUAUGAUAGUGAGCUGGUAAAUUUUCAGUUUAGCUUAACUUAGAAUUAUAGAUCAAUUGCUGAUGAUAUCUUUGAUGUGAAUUUGUCACUUUGUUAAAAUGUUGCAUUCUUCAAAAUACACAAGUUUACAAAUAA